rnacentral:rRNA from 1 species
UACGAAGGGGGCUAGCGUUGCUCGGAAUUACUGGGCGUAAAGCGCACGUAGGCGGCUUUCUAAGUCGGGGGUGAAAUCCUGGAGCUCAACUCCAGAACUGCCUUCGAUACUGGAAAGCUCGAGUCCGGGAGAGGUGAGUGGGACUGCGAGUGUAGAGGUGAAAUUCGUAGAUAUUCGCAAGAACACCAGUGGCGAAGGCGGCUCACUGGCCCGGUACUGACGCUGAGGUGCGAAAGCGUGGGGAGCAAACAGG